rnacentral:rRNA from 1 species
UACGUAGGGACCGAGCGUUGUCCGGAUUCAUUGGGCGUAAAGAGCUCGUAGGCGGCCACUCAAGUCGAAUGUGAAACCUCGAGGCUUAACCUCGAGCCUGCAUUCGAUACUGGGCGGCUAGAGUCUGGUAGGGGGAUCUGGAAUUCCUGGUGUAGCGGUGGAAUGCGCAGAUAUCAGGAGGAACACCGGUGGCGAAGGCGGCAUCCUGGACCAUUAUUGACGCUGAGGAGCGAAAGCCAGGGGAGCAAACGGG